AGAUUUCUGCUUAAAAUCUUCUCAGCAGUAACAACGACAACCAAAGCAACAACGAGGAAAGCAACAACAACCAGAGCAACAACUCUAAUGACAGCAACAACAGCAACAAGAGCAACGAGAGCGACAACAGCAAUGACAGCAAUGACAGCAACAACAACGCAAGCAACAACAGAAAUGAAGGCAACAACGAAAGCAAUGAGAGCAACAACAAUGAGAGCAACAGCAGCAACAAACAUGACGGUUUUUCAGGUCGGCGCUGAGAUUCGCCGUUUCCUGUCGGUUGAAUUUGUGAAAACCGUGACAAGAGCAGCUGUGAGAGUUCAUUAUUCAUUAAUUCAUUCAUUUAUUCAUCCAUUCACUCAUGUAUUUGUUCAUUCAUUCACUUGUUUAUUCAUUCAUUCAUUUAUUUACUUGUUUAUUCAUUGAUUCACUCAUUCAUCCACUCAUUUAUUCAUUCAUUCAUUUAAUCAUUCAUUUAUCCCUGGAGUUUCUGAACACAGAGGUUUUUUUAUUCCCUCCAGUCUGAAUGAAUGAACUGAUGAAUGGAUGAAUGUUGAUUCUAGUGUAAUCUUGAAGAAAUAAGCGGCUCAGGGUUCGGGUCCACACUGGUCACACUGGUCACACUGGUCUGGGUUCUGUUCAUGUGAUAAAAAUAAGAAAAAUAAACUCCAAAUGAACGAAUGAAUUAACAAAUGAAUGAAUGAAUCUCCGUGGAGCGACAGAAAAGCAGCAGGACAGAAACUCGUGUUUCAGUUUCACCCUGUUGGCAGUAAAAACUCUCGUCCAAUCAGAUCCUCACGCUCUCUUAAGCACCGUUUGCGCCCAAACCAGCCUGAGGAUAUGAGGUUAUUUUGGUGAGAUCUAUGAAUGGAUAAAGGAUAUGAGGUUAUUUUGGUGAGCUCUAUGAAUGGAUGAAGGAUAUGAGGUUAUUUUGGUGAGAUUUAUGAAUGGAUGAGCUGAGUUCAUGUUGAAGUUCAGAUGGACGUUAGCCGCUCCAAGAAGAGACAUUUUUGGUCGUUAAAAUCCAAUCUUUGUCCGAUGAAAUAUUGACGGGAUCUCCUGAAAGUAGAAACUCCUGGGUUUGGUUGAAGCUGUCAGGAGGUUUACAGACUCUGAAUAAAACCUUAGUGAGAAAAAAAAAAACAUGUUAAAGUUUUUAAAACACUUUUAGAUUUUUCUUCUUCACACUCAGGAAACUUCAGCCGACUGUAAUCUGAGGAGUCGUCACACGUAAUCUCAGAUUAUCACAGAGAUGGACAGACUGCAGCAGAUCAGAGGGAAAGACAAGGAAAAACUCGAAAACAGCUGAGAAACAGAGAGAGAGGGAUGAAGAUGAAGAAGAAGAUGAUGAAGAUGAUGAAGAGGAGGACGAAGGGAAUUAACGCUGAAUUAAACUCCACUUUGACCGCCGGCUGGCAAAACAUGAAAGAAUGACCUUGAAUCCUCCAAAGCGAGUAUGGAUUGGCACACAGCA